AUUGAACGCUGGCGGCAUGCUUUACACAUGCAAGUCGAACGGUAACAGGCCGCAAGGUGCUGACGAGUGGCGAACGGGUGAGUAAUGCAUCGGAACGUGCCCAGUCGUGGGGGAUAACGCAGCGAAAGCUGUGCUAAUACCGCAUACGAUCUAUGGAUGAAAGCGGGGGACCGUAAGGCCUCGCGCGAUUGGAGCGGCCGAUGCCAGAUUAGCUAGUUGGUGGGGUAAAGGCCAACCAAGGCGACGAUCUGUAGCUGGUCUGAGAGGACGACCGGCCACACUGGGACUGAGACACGGCCCAGGCUCCUACGGGAGGCAGCAGUGGGGAAUUUUGGACAAUGGGCGCAAGCCUGAUCCAGCAAUGCCGCGUGCAGGAAGAAGGCCUUCGGGUUGUAAACUGCUUUUGUACGGAACGAAACGGUCUGGGUUAAUACCCUGGGCUAAUGACGGUACCGUAAGAAUAAGCACCGGCUAACUACGUGCCAGCCGCCGCUGUAA
rnacentral:rRNA from 1 species